GAUGAACGCUGGCGGCGUGCUUAACACAUGCAAGUCGAACGGAAAGGCCGAAGCUUGCUUCGGUACUCGAGUGGCGAACGGGUGAGUAACACGUGGGUGAUCUGCCCUGUACUUCGGGAUAAGCUUGGGAAACUGGGUCUAAUACCGGAUAUGACGAUCUCUUGGAUGGGGUUGUGGAAAGCUUUUGCGGUAUGGGAUGAGCUCGCGGCCUAUCAGCUUGUUGGUGGGGUAAUGGCCUACCAAGGCGUCGACGGGUAGCCGGCCUGAGAGGGUGUACGGCCACAUUGGGACUGAGAUACGGCCCAGACUCCUACGGGAGGCAGCAGUGGGGAAUAUUGCACAAUGGGCGCAAGCCUGAUGCAGUGACGCCGCGUGGGGGAUGACGGCCUUCGGGUUGUAAACUCCUUUCGCAAUCGACGAAGCCUUUUGGUGACGGUAGGUUGAGAAGAAGCACCGGCUAACUACGUG
rnacentral:rRNA from 1 species